AUGACAUACUUGUAAUCAUAUGCAUCUUCGUGUAAAUUUUGGUGUUUUGAGACAUGCUUCAGGUGCAUUUUCACCCUUUAAUAAUGUAUUCUUUUUUUUUUUUUUUUUACAGGACAUGUUAUAACUGUACAAGCCAAAUGAGCCGAGUUUAUUAAAUUGUAAGACCAAUGGUGAUUCUGUUCCUUUGGCAAGUUGAGUUGUCAAACUGUAAAACUGCCUUUUACCUUGUUAAACAUACACAAUGUGAAGUCCUACAGGACAUGUUAUAACUGUACAAGCCAAAUGAGCCGAGUUUAUUAAAUUGUAAGACCAAUGGUGAUUCUGUUCCUUUGGCAAGUUGAGUUGUCAAACUGUAAAACUGCCUUUUACCUUGUUAAACAUACACAAUGUGAAGUCCUUAUUAGCCUCAGGGCUUCAAUCCUAAGUUAGGAUGAGACAUUUUGGGGCCUCUAUUUCUUUCAAGUAUAAUUUCUGGUAGAGGUACU
rnacentral:lncRNA from 1 species